AGUUCGUGCUAGGAGCUUGAGCAGGGACGAGGUCCACAGACAGCUUUCCUUCAGAUUGGUCUCGAGGCACAAUCUGGGAAAGGGGCUAGAUCUAAGUCUUUCCUCAUUGUGGCAAUAGAAGAGGACACAGAAAAAAAGGAUGGUGAAGACAGAAUUUAAACGACAACACCAAACCAACAGACCAUUGGCUAUCCAAGAAAUUACUAUUUAGAAAUGUUCUUUGUUUUCUAGAGAAAGUUGUGUUUAAAGAACUAAAUUUCAGGACUUCAGUAGUAGAACAAGGGAAGAAAAAAAACACAAUUUGUAGUUUUCCUGGAAGGUGAUCAUGUUCAGUGUAAGAGGUUGGAGGAAUUCAUUACGCUGAUUAAAUUGAAGCUUAAAAGGCAUGUUUGGAAACAAA